GGCAUAUGGAGAGAGAGAUGACUAAGAGCAGUGCAAUCAAUAUUGAGAGGUGGGGGUAGAGAUCGGGAAAGAGGUGGAUAACCAAGGAUGAUCUGGAGAAAUAGGAUUAGACCUAGAGGGUGGUGGAGGAGGCAGGGGGGGAUCGAGAUAGAGGUGAGUGGCCAGAGGUGGAGGAGAUCGGGAAAGAUGCAACCAAGCCAAAAAGGGAUUAGAAGAUAGGUAGCCAAUUGUGGGGGAAGG
rnacentral:lncRNA from 1 species